GUUGGAUACAAUAGUUUAUCCACUCCGGCAAGUCAACUGCUGUAUACGUUAUUUACUCAGAGACGUCAGCUGGCAUACAUCAUCUGCUCGGACAAGUUCAACUGCUGUAUACGUUAUUUACUCAGAGACGUCAGCUGGCAUACAUCAUCUGCUCGGACAAGUGUGUUGUACAAUAGUUAUCUACUCCGGCAAGUCAACUGCUGUAUACGUUAUUUACUCAGAGACGUCAAAUGCCAUACAUCAUCUGCUCGGACAAGUGUGUUGUACAAUAGUUAUCUACUCCGGCAAGUCAACUGCUGUAUACGUUAUUUACUCAGAGACGUCAAAUGUCAUACAUCAUCUGCUCGGACAAGUGUGUUGGUACAAUAGUUAUCUACUCCGGCAAGUCAACUGCUGUAUACGUUAUUUACUCAGAGACGUCAAAUGUCAUACAUCAUCUGCUCGGACAAGUGUGUUGGUACAAUGGGUAUCUACUCCGGCAAGUCAACUGCUGUAUACGUUAUUUACUCAGAGACGUCAGCCGGCAUAAAACUUCUACUCAGACAGGUCAAUAUGGUAUGUGAUGGAUUAUUAUUAUUAGUCUGUGAGGCCUUCUCUUCCUGCCGAAAGAAGUAUUUAAAAUGCUCUAAUGGUGCCCCACAAACGACAGCUAAUGUACUUAAUUCUAAUAAUGCUGAUAAUAUUAAAUCUGUUGCCAUUUUCAUAAAACAUUUGAUGUCCAUCCGUAAAUCACAUGUAAAACAAUAAUUUCAUCUCUCGUGACAACUUCAAUUGUACUCUGGGUCACUGGGCCUUAACUACUGAAUAAAACUUCUCUGACCUGUU